rnacentral:rRNA from 1 species
AACGCUGGCGGCGUGCCUAAUACAUGCAAGUAGAACGCUGAAGAGAGGAGCUUGCUCUUCUUGGAUGAGUUGCGAACGGGUGAGUAACGCGUAGGUAACCUGCCUGGUAGCGGGGGAUAACUAUUGGAAACGAUAGCUAAUACCGCAUGAUAUUAAUUGUCGCAUGAUAAUUAAUUGAAAGAUGCAAUUGCAUCACUACCAGAUGGACCUGCGUUGCAUUAGCCAGUUGGUGAGGUAACGGCUCACCAAGGCGACGAUACAUAGCCGACCUGAGAGGGUGAUCGGCCACACUGGGACUGAGACACGGCCCAGACUCCUACGGGAGGCAGCAGUAGGGAAUCUUCGGCAAUGGGGGGAACCCUGACCGAGCAACGCCGCGUGAGUGAAGAAGGUUUUCGGAUCGUAAAGCUCUGUUGUAAGAGAAGAACGGGUGUGAGAGUGGAAAGUUCACACUGUGACGGUAUCUUACCAGAAAGGGACGGCUAACUACGUGCCAGCAGCCGCGGUAAUACGUAGGUCCCGAGCGUUGUCCGGAUUUAUUGGGCGUAAAGCGAGCGCAGGCGGUUAGAUAAGUCUGAAGUUAAAGGCUGUGGCUUAACCAUAGUAUGCUUUGGAAACUGUUUAACUUGAGUGCAGAAGGGGAGAGCGGAAUUCCAUGUGUAGCGGUGAAAUGCGUAGAUAUAUGGAGGAACACCGGUGGCGAAAGCGGCUCUCUGGUCUGUAACUGACGCUGAGGCUCGAAAGCGUGGGGAGCAAACAGGAUUAGAUAUCCUGGUAGUCCACGCCGUAAACGAUGAGUGCUAGGUGUUAGGCCCUUUCCGGGGCUUAGUGCCG